CCUACGGGAGGCAGCAGUGGGGAAUCUUGGACAAUGGGCGCAAGCCUGAUCCAGCCAUGCCGCGUGAGUGACGAAGGCCUUAGGGUUGUAAAGCUCUUUUGCCGGGGACGAUAAUGACGGUACCCGGAGAAUAAGUCCCGGCUAACUUCGUGCCAGCAGCCGCGGUAAU
rnacentral:rRNA from 1 species